rnacentral:rRNA from 2 species
GACUCUCGGCAACGGAUAUCUCGGCUCUCGCAUCGAUGAAGAACGUAGCGAAAUGCGAUACUUGGUGUGAAUUGCAGAAUCCCGUGAACCAUCGAGUCUUUGAACGCAAGUUGCGCCCGAAGCCACUAGGCCGAGGGCACGUCUGCCUGGGUGUCACGCAACGUCGCCAACGCCCAAU